GAAAAGAAAAAGCAUCAGUUGUAAUGAGUUAAUACUGCAGAACAGUGUCUUAUCACACAUAUCAUGUAAUAAUUGUGUCCUUGCCACUGAAUUCUUCAGAUAGUUGGUAAGCUCGAGGAUGUGAUGCAGAAAGAUUAAACUUUCAGGAAUGGGCAUUUUUUUGGUUGCAGGGAUGUUUUUCUUAAUCCAGUUCAAUAUAGGUCAG
rnacentral:misc_RNA from 1 species